UACGGGGGGGGCAAGCGUUGUUCGGAAUUACUGGGCGUAAAGGGCUCGUAGGCGGCCAACUAAGUCAGACGUGAAAUCCCUCGGCUUAACCGGGGAACUGCGUCUGAUACUGGAUGGCUUGAAUCCGGGAGAGGGAUGCGGAAUUCCAGGUGUAGCGGUGAAAUGCGUAGAUAUCUGGAGGAACACCGGUGGCGAAGGCGGCGUCCUGGACCGGCAUUGACGCUGAGGAGCGAAAGCCAGGGGAGCAAACGGG
rnacentral:rRNA from 1 species